GGAGAGGUGGCAGAGUGGUCUAAUGCGACAGUCUUGAAAACUGUUGUCCUUGUAAGAGGACCGUGGGUCCGAAUCCCACCCUCUCCG
rnacentral:tRNA from 1 species